rnacentral:rRNA from 1 species
CCUACGGGAGGCAGCAGUAGGGAAUAUUGGACAAUGGACGCAAGUCUGAUCCAGCCAUCCCGCGUGAAGGAUUAAGGCCCUAUGGGUUGUAAACUUCUUUUCUUUGGGAAUAAAAAGCGGUAUUCAUAUCGCCUUGAAGGUACCAGAGGAAUAAGCACCGGCUAACUCCGUGCCAGCAGCCGCGGUAAUACGGAGGGUGCAAGCGUUAUCCGGAUUCACUGGGUUUAAAGGGUGCGUAGGUGGCUUUGUAAGUCAGCGGUGAAAGCCUGGAGCUCAACUCCAGAAUUGCCAUUGAUACUGCAGAGCUUGAAUCAAGUUGAGGUGGAUGGAAUAUUACAUGUAGCGGUGAAAUGCUUAGAUAUGUAAUAGAACACCGAUUGCGAAGGCAGUUCACUAAGCUUGUAUUGACACUGAGGCACGAAAGCGUGGGGAUCAAACAGGAUUAGAUACCCUGGUAGUCCACGCCCUAAACGAUGCAAACUCGACAUUAGCGAUAUACAGUUAGUGUCCAAGCGAAAAGCGUUAAGUUUGCCACCUGGAAGUACGACCGCAAGGUUGAAACUCAAAUGAAUUGACGGCGNGAGAGAGCGAGACGACACGAGGGAGAGG